UGGGGAAUCUUGCACAAUGGGGGAAACCCUGAUGCAGCGACGCCGCGUGAACGAUGAAGCCCUUCGGGGUGUAAAGUUCUUUCGACAGGAACGAUAAUGACGGUACCUGGAGAAGAAGCUGCGGCUAACUACGUGCCAGCAGCCGCGGUAAUACGUAGGCAGCGAGCGUUGUUCGGAGUUACUGGGCGUAAAGCGAGUGUAGGCGGUUUCCUAAGUCAGGUGUGAAAGCCCCGGGCUCAACCCGGGAAGUGCACUUGAAACUGGGAGGCUAGAGUACUGGAGAGGUUGGUGGAAUUCUCGGUGUAGAGGUGAAAUUCGUAGAUAUCGAGAGGAACACCGGUGGCGAAGGCGGCCAACUGGACAGAUACUGACGCUGAGACUCGAAAGCGUGGGGAGCAAACA
rnacentral:rRNA from 1 species